rnacentral:rRNA from 1 species
AGUGAACGCUGGCGGUAGGCCUAACACAUGCAAGUCGAACGGCAGCACAGUAAGAGCUUGCUCUUACGGGUGGCGAGUGGCGGACGGGUGAGGAAUACAUCGGAAUCUACUUUUUCGUGGGGGAUAACGAAGGGAAACUUACGCUAAUACCGCAUACGACCUACGGGUGAAAGCAGGGGAUCUUCGGACCUUGCGCGAUUGAAUGAGCCGAUGACGGAUUAGCUAGUUGGCGGGGUAAAGGCCCACCAAGGCGACGAUCCGUAGCUGGUCUGAGAGGAUGAUCAGCCACACUGGAAGUGAGACACGGUCCAGACUCCUACGGGAGGCAGCAGUGGGGAAUAUUGGACAAUGGGCGCGAGCCUGAUCCAGCCAUACCGCGUGGGUGAAGAAGGCCUUCGGGUUGUAAAGCCCUUUUGUUGGGAAAGAAAAGCAGCAGGUUAAUACCCCGCUAUUCUGACGGUACCCAAAGAAUAAGCACCGGCUAACUUCGUG